rnacentral:rRNA from 1 species
AGUGAACGCUGGCGGUAGGCCUAACACAUGCAAGUCGAACGGCAGCACAGUAAGAGCUUGCUCUUACGGGUGGCGAGUGGCGGACGGGUGAGGAAUACAUCGGAAUCUACUUUUUCGUGGGGGAUAACGUAGGGAAACUUACGCUAAUACCGCAUACGACCUACGGGUGAAAGCAGGGGAUCUUCGGACCUUGCGCGAUUGAAUGAGCCGAUGUCGGAUUAGCUAGUUGGCGGGGUAAAGGCCCACCAAGGCGACGAUCCGUAGCUGGUCUGAGAGGAUGAGCAGCCACACUGGAACUGAGACACGGUCCAGACUCCUACGGGAGGCAGCAGUGGGGAAUAUUGGACAAUGGGCGCAAGCCUGAUCCAGCCAUACCGCGUGGGUGAAGAAGGCCUUCGGGUUGUAAAGCCCUUUUGUUGGGAAAGAAAAGCAGCAGGUUAAUACCCCGCUGUUCUGACGGUACCCAAAGAAUAAGCACCGGCUAACUUGGUG